AGAGAGAGAGAGAGAGAGAGAGAUGGGUAUAGAUGGUUUAGAGAGAGAGAGAGAGAGAGAGCUGGGUAUAGAUGGUUUAGAGAGAGAGAGAGUUGGGUAUAGAUGGUUUAGAGAGAGAGAGAGAGAGAGAGAGAGAGCUGGGUAUAGAUGGUUUAGAGAGAGAGAGAGAGAGCUGGGUAUAGAUGAGAGAGAGAGAGAGAGAGAGCUGGGUAUAGAUGGUUUAGAGAGAGAGAGAGAGAGAGAGAGAGCUGGGUAUAGAUGGUUUAGAGAGAGAGAGAGAGAGGCUGGGUAUAGAUGAGAGAGAGAGAGAGAGCUGGGUAUAGAUGGUUUAGAGAGAGAGAGAGAGCUGGGUAUAGAUGGUUUAGAGAGAGAGAGAGAGCUGGGUAUAGAUGGUUUAGAGAGAGAGAGAGCUGGGUAUAGAUGGUUUAGAGAGAGAGAGAGAGCUGGGUAUAGAUGGUUUAGAGAGAGAGAGAGCUGGGUAUAGAUGAGAGAGAGAGAGAGAGCUGGGUAUAGAUGGUUUAGAGAGAGAGAGCUGGGUAUAGAUGGUUUAGAGAGAGAGAGAGCUGGGUAUAGAUGGUUUAGAGAGAGAGAGCUGGGUAUAGAUGGUUUAGAGAGAGAGAGAGAGAGAGAGCUGGGUAUAGAUGGUUUAGAGAGAGAGAGAGAGAGAGCUGGGUAUAGAUGGUUUAGAGAGAGAGAGAGAGAGAGAGCUGGGUAUAGAUGGUUUAGAGAGAGAGAGCUGGGUAUAGAUGGUUUAGAGAGAGAGAGCUGGGUAUAGAUGGUUUAGAGAGAGAGAGAGAGCUGGGUAUAGAUGGUUUAGAGAGAGAGAAUGAGAGAGAGCUGGGUAUAGAUGGUUUAGAGAGAGAGAGAGCUGGGUAUAGAUGGUUUAGAGAGAGAGAGAGAGAGCUGGGUAUAGAUGGUUUAGAGAGAGAGAGAGAGCUGGGUAUAGAUGGUUUAGAGAGAGAGAGAGAGCUGGGUAUAGAUGGUUUAGAGAGAGAGAGAUUUGUGAAUCAUUUUCAUUAAGAUUCUACCUACUUUGCACAAGUCAUAUAGAGCAAUAUACACUGAGUAAACAAAACAUUAAGAACACCUGCUCUUUCCAUGACAUAGACUGACCAGGUGAAUCCAGGUGAAAAGCUAUGAUUCCCUUAUUGAUGCCAAGUCUUA
rnacentral:lncRNA from 1 species